rnacentral:rRNA from 1 species
AGGGAAUAUUGCACAAUGGGCGAAAGCCUGAUGCAGCAACGCCGCGUGAGGGAUGAAGGUCUUCGGAUUGUAAACCUCUUUUCUAAGGGACGAGAAGGGACGGUACCUUAGGAAUAAGCAACGGCUAACUACGUGCCAGCAGCCGCGGUAAUACGUAGGUUGCGAGCGUUAUUCGGAUUUACUGGGCGUAAAGCGCACCGAGGUGGCUUCUUAAGUUGGAUGUAAAAUCUCCCGGCUUAACUGGGAGGCGCCAUUCAAUACUGAGGAGCUUGAGGUCAGCAGGGGAAGGUGGAAUUCCCGGUGUAGUGGUGGAAUGCGUAGAGAUCGGGAGGAACACCAGUGGCGAAAGCGACCUUCUGGGCUGCACCUGACACUCUAGUGCGAAAGCGUGGGGAGCAAAC